GCUUGGCAGCCUCCAGAUUCAUUGUGAUUAUCCCAGCCCAGUCGCUGAGGAUCAACUUUGUACAAUUCAGGAAGAAAGAAUAUGGCCAGCACCUUGGUCACUUGGGCGCUGAAUCAGGGGACAACCCCAAGGUCCCUAGAGGACUCUCCACAGGAUCUUAUGACCACCGCCUUGAGACUUCCAUGCAUGGAAAGAUGCUGAGCAAUUUCAAGAAAGCUUUGAGGUUGUGGAAACUUUUUGAAGACACAAAAUAGAAACAAUCAGAGACUGUGCAGAUCAUCUGUCACAUCCCACAGGAAAGAAGAACAUUAGC
rnacentral:lncRNA from 1 species